CUUCUUCCUCCCAAAAUUUUAUUAUUUUUCUUUUUUUUUCUUCUUUUUCUUUUUCUUUUCUUUUCUCCCUUCUUCUUCCUCCCGAGCGCCGCGACCAUCUCCAUCUUCUCUUCUCCUUUCCGUUCGCAGCAAGCAGCCGCCGCGUGACCUCCCGCCCAGUGCCAUGUAACCCUCUGUCCAGGUCUGCGUCGUCGUGCCCAGUCCUAACCGCCGCUGCCACCGUCUCCGUGCCAUUGCACUAUCUCCGUCGAAGCCAAAACCGCCACGCCCUCCGCUCACAACCGUCGUCCAGAUCUGCAUCGCCGGCUGUCUCCCUCUUUUCUCCUCUCUGUUCCGUCCAAACCCAGCCAGACACAACCGUCUCACCGCGCCGUUGUCCAGAUCUGCAACGCCGGGUUCUCACCGGUAGCCCCGUCCCAAUCGUCUCCAUCUCCGUUCGCGAAGCAAGGCCGCCGACCGUUCACGCCGGCUCACCGUCACGAACCACUCUGUCGUGAAGUUGUCUGCCGUUGGCGAAGUGGUGCGUCGUGAAGCUGCCUCUACCUCCGUUCGCAAAUCUGAAAUCGCGCGCGCCCGUGUCUUCCAAUCGUGCGUGUAACGCGACUACACUUCCCCAACCAGGAUGGGUCACAUCUAGAUCUUCGCUAAAUUGCAAUUUCUGCCCUACCACUGUAUUGGGUUUUAGUGUAAGUUCGUAAUUGUGAAUUUGGUAGUUUCCGUAUGAUUGAUUCGUUGAGAUAAAAUGUUAAAUUUAAACGGUUGGUUAAUAUUGCUCUUUGAAGGUGUUAAUUGAGGCGGAGUUAGACCUCAACGAAUCACGACAAGUUUAUUUGGAGUUAAAUUUUCUAUUUAAAUUAGGAUUGGUGUGUUGGACUUUGUUGACCAAGAAAUCUUAAGGAAAUCAAGGCCAAAGGAGAUGUCAUGGCUAUGGGCCGAAGCUUUGAGAAAAAAAGAAUGAAAAAUGAAAUGUGAGAUCUUAAACUUUGAUGGUGUGUAGGGUCUUUUUGUUUGUCUAUGCAUUUUCCAAGUGAAUUUUAGUACUUUUGAAUUUUUCUAUUGAUAUUUUGUUUAUGGUUGCUAUUGAGUUGGUUUGAUUGAAGGAUAGAGGGAAGUGAUUAUUGAUAAUUAUAGGUAUGUUUUCCUUAGUAUUUGAACAUUUUUGUAUUCGUAGCAACCUAACUUUGUUGUUUCUCUUAGUUUGGUUGUGAUUUGAGUAUUUUAUAUUUGGGGUUCAGGAAAGGCAGUAUUUGUUGAAGGAAUUCCCGUGAACUGGUUUCUUGUAAGAAGUAUUGUAAAGUUUUGAAGGUUGGGUUGUGGUAAUGGAAUCACCGUUAUUCCAAUCUUGCGGUAACCUCCAACCAAGCUAAUUUUAAAGGUGUCAAGUGUAUUUUGAUGUAUUUUGAUUUUGGGGAAGAAUUCAUAUGACAAAAGCAUCAAGAAGUCGAUCGUCGGUCUGGAAAGUUAGUGAUAAACAUCCAGGUUGAUUGUUACAAUAUAAAUCUCUUAUUUGUUAAUGUCUUUUCCUUAUCUUAUCCAUCCUCUUUUAACAUAUCUUGCUAAUUUCAUAAGCUAACAUUGAUUGCGAUAGACUAUAAUGCUAGUGAUUCAGAUUCAGAUGAAUUGACUCGUGAUUCUUAACCACACCAAUGUUGUUGAUUUCUCUAUGUCAUGUCAAAACAACCACUUGUAUCUCCUCCACGACAUGUCGUUUUAGAAAUUUAAUUAACUUGUAAUUCUUUGACUUUAUGUGUGGCAUCAAUUAUUCUUUCUUGCA